rnacentral:lncRNA from 1 species
ACUUAUUCUACGUCAUCGGACAAUUCUGAAACACAUAAUUGCACCCUGACCCGGCGGUUCCGGUCGUUACAUAUUUUACCUCUCUACUUAUCAGGAUAAUCAAAUUUUUUUUUUUUGCUAAACUUGUAAAUAUCAUAUAAGAAAGAAAGAGUUCAAACUUACAUGGAUGGCACUUAGCAGAAUUGGUUCCUUGCCAAAAAACAUAAAAAUAAGGAAGCAAAGAGAAAAAAAGAGGACAAGAGAGGGAAGAGAAGCAGACUCUUCCUAGAUAAUCCAGCGAGACAUAAGAGACUUGAAAGUCUUUCUAUGCCGUCGAGCACUAAUUGACUUGAUAAUCCAGGAUAAUCAUUUUUUCCCUCAAUGUUUCAGUUUUAUCUGGAGAAAUCUGAUGUAUAUAUUCUUUUUGUUGUAUUCAAAUUGUAAUUGUAUAAGUUCGCAUGAAAAAUGACAUGUCUUAAUUGUUACAAUAUAUGCAUGGUGUAUCACAAAACAGAACCUUCUUGUUCGUCUAUCUUUGAAAUAAACUAUUAAAAAGUGUGUCUGUUUGGUCGUUUCGGAUAUGUCAGUCUUAAUGAAUCUAUUGUUUUGAGUCAGAUCUCAGAUGGCAGAGAAGAAGACACACAUGAGUCUGUUAGUAGAAGUCAAUAAAAUCGAUAUAUUAAAAAAAUAGUUGUUAACUUG